rnacentral:rRNA from 1 species
GUCUAUGGCCAUACCAACCUGAAAGUGCCCAUCUGAUCUCGGAAGCUAAACAGGUCAGGCCUGGUUAGUACUUAGAUGGAAGAGUACAAUGCUGAAGUGACAUUAACAAGUUGGUAGAAUAAUAAGCCCCAGCCC